UACGUAGGAUGCGAGCGUUGUCCGGAUUUACUGGGUGUAAAGGGAGCGCAGGCGGAUCGGUAAGUCGGUGGUGAAAUCCUCAGGCUCAACCUGGGAACUGCCACCGAAACUGCUGAUCUUGAGUGUGGAAGAGGUCGAUGGAAUUCCUGGUGUAGCAGUGAAAUGCGUAGAUAUCAGGAAGAACACCGAUGGCGAAGGCAGUCGACUGGUCCACUACUGACGCUCAUGCUCGAAAGCGUGGGGAUCAAAC
rnacentral:rRNA from 1 species